CUUUCGCGCCUCAGCGUCAGUGUCGGCCCUGCUACCCGCCUUCGCCGCAGGUGUUCCUCUCGAUAUCUACGCAUUUCACCGCUACACCGAGAAUUCCAGUAGCCCCUUCCGCACUCUAGCACGACAGUAUCGAUUGACCGCUCCGAGUUAAGCCCGGAGAUUUCACAAUCGACUUGUUGCGCCGCCUACGCGCCCUUUACGCCCAGU
rnacentral:rRNA from 1 species